UUUCCGUAGGUGAACCUGCGGAAGGAUCAUUAUUGUAUAACCGAGGUGCGAGGGCUGUCGCUGACCCGAAAGGUCGUGCACGCCCGAGUGCCCUCACACACAUCCAUCUCACCCCUAUGUGCACCACCGCGUGGGUCCCCCUUUGGCUUGUUCGGAGGGGGGCUUACGUUUUCACACAAACUUUGUAUGAAAUGUAGAAUGUAUUUUUUGUUUUUGCGAUCACGCAAUCAAUACAACUUUCAACAACGGAUCUCUUGGCUCUC
rnacentral:misc_RNA from 1 species